GGCCUAUCAAUGUUUACCACAGGCUGUGUUCUUUACACUGACUGUAUAGAAAGAGGAGGUACAGUAAAUGAUCCCUAUAAAAACCUGAAACCAGGCCUUUUGCCUGAUCUGUAUUGUGAAUGGGGGACAACA